rnacentral:rRNA from 1 species
UACGGGGGGGAGCAAGCGUUGUUCGGAUUUACUGGGCGUAAAGGGCGCGUAGGCGGCCACCGCAAGUCGACUGUGAAAUCUCCGGGCUUAACCCGGAAAGGUCAGCCGAUACUGCGGGGCUAGAGUGCAGAAGGGGCAACUGGAAUUCUCGGUGUAGCGGUGAAAUGCGUAGAUAUCGAGAGGAACACCUGCGGCGAAGGCGGGUUGCUGGGCUGAUACUGACGCUGAGGCGCGAAAGCCAGGGGAGCGAACGGG